GCUGGGCAUGGUGGCGCGUGCCUGUAAUCCCAGCUACUCAGGAGGCUGAGGCAGGAGAAUUGCCCGAACCCAGGAGGCGGAGGUUGCAGUGAGCCGAGAUCACGCCACUGCACUCCAACCUGGGUAACAAGAGCAAAACUCCGUCUCAU
ensembl:misc_RNA Metazoa_SRP Metazoan signal recognition particle RNA